rnacentral:rRNA from 1 species
GAUCUUUAUUUUUAUUAUUUAUAAUUAUAAAAGAAUAUUAUAAAUUAUAUAUUUAUAAAAAAUUUUAUUGGGGUGAUAUUAAAAUUUAAUAAACUUUUAAGAUUAAUUUACAUUAAUAUAUGAAUAAUUGAUCCAAUUUUAUUGAUUAAAAAUUUAAGUUACCUUAGGGAUAACAGCGUAAUUUUUUUUUAGAGUUCAUAUCGAUAAAAAAGAUUGC